UAAUAAGGCACGCAAGGAAUUGGAUCCCAACAGAAUCCUUUCGAAUAAUAAGCUGAAAAAGCUGUUCCCAUCAUCAGAGGGCAUUUGAGAAGCAUCUUUUUUUUUUUUAUUGGUUAGUCAUUUUGUUCUAUCGUAUAAAUUCUGAAUGCUUGAUAUUGUAUCAUCCUUUUGCCAGUCUGCUGGAAUUGCUUCAGCCUAUGUUCUCAACUGUACAUUAAUUUGAAAGAAAUGGCCAUAAAAUAAGAAGGUAUACGGUUUAAGAAGGUAUACAGUUAACGGUACCAUAUCCUAUAGAAGUUUUCUGGUGAUUAAGGCUCAGUCUUGUGUUUAAAGCUGCUUUAGAGCUUAAAUGUAUAUUGGAAGCAAAUGGGAAAGAUUCUGAGUCUGGUAAAAUAUAAUCUGGUCUCCGUGAGUUCCAUGUAUUAUGAUAGAAAUAUCAGAACUGCAGAAUCAUUCUAUCCUAGUCUUAAAUAAAUUGUUUACACGUUUGUGC
rnacentral:misc_RNA from 1 species